AGGAUACCAUGUUGUGUUUACAGUUUUGAAACAUUUGUGAACACAGCUGGUGGUAUCUUCU
rnacentral:pre_miRNA from 1 species